UAAGGAAUAUUGGUCAAUGGAGGCAACUCUGAACCAGCCAUGCCGCGUGCAGGAAGACAGCCCUCUGGGUCGUAAACUGCUUUUAUUCGGGAAUAAACCUUUCUACGUGUAGAGAGCUGAAUGUACCGAAGGAAUAAGGAUCGGCUAACUCCGUGCCAGCAGCCGCGGUAAUACGGAGGAUCCAAGCGUUAUCCGGAUUUAUUGGGUUUAAAGGGUGCGUAGGCGGCUUAUUAAGUCAGGGGUGAAAGACGGUGGCUCAACCAUCGCAGUGCCUUUGAUACUGAUGAGCUUGAAUGAACUAGAGGUAGGCGGAAUGUGACAAGUAGCGGUGAAAUGCAUAGAUAUGUCACAGAACACCGAUUGCGAAGGCAGCUUACUAUGGUUUUAUUGACGCUGAGGCACGAAAGCGUGGGGAUCAAACA
rnacentral:rRNA from 1 species